rnacentral:rRNA from 1 species
AUACAUGCAAGUCGAACGAGCUUCCGUUGAAUGACGUGCUUGCACUGAUUUCAACAAUGAAGCGAGUGGCGAACUGGUGAGUAACACGUGGGAAAUCUGCCCAGAAGCAGGGGAUAACACUUGGAAACAGGUGCUAAUACCGUAUAACAACAAAAUCCGCAUGGAUUUUGUUUGAAAGGUGGCUUCGGCUAUCACUUCUGGAUGAUCCCGCGGCGUAUUAGUUAGUUGGUGAGGUAAAGGCCCACCAAGACGAUGAUACGUAGCCGACCUGAGAGGGUAAUCGGCCACAUUGGGACUGAGACACGGCCCAAACUCCUACGGGAGGCAGCAGUAGGGAAUCUUCCACAAUGGACGAAAGUCUGAUGGAGCAAUGCCGCGUGAGUGAAGAAGGGUUUCGGCUCGUAAAACUCUGUUGUUAAAGAAGAACACCUUUGAGAGUAACUGUUCAAGGGUUGACGGUAUUUAACCAGAAAGCCACGGCUAACUACGUGCCAGCAGCCGCGGUAAUACGUAGGUGGCAAGCGUUGUCCGGAUUUAUUGGGCGUAAAGCGAGCGCAGGCGGUUUUUUAAGUCUGAUGUGAAAGCCUUCGGCUUAACCGGAGAAGUGCAUCGGAAACUGGGAGACUUGAGUGCAGAAGAGGACAGUGGAACUCCAUGUGUAGCGGUGGAAUGCGUAGAUAUAUGGAAGAACACCAGUGGCGAAGGCGGCUGUCUAGUCUGUAACUGACGCUGAG